AUUGAACGCUGGCGGCAGGCCUAACACAUGCAAGUCGAGCGGGGUUUUCGGACCUAGCGGCGGACGGGUGAGUAAUGCGUAGGAAGCUACCCGAUAGAGGGGGAUACCAGUUGGAAACGACUGUUAAUACCGCAUAAUGUCUACGGACCAAAGUGUGGGACCUUCGGGCCACAUGCUAUCGGAUGCGCCUACGUGGGAUUAGCUAGUUGGUGAGGUAAUAGCUCACCAAGGCGACGAUCCCUAGCUGGUUUGAGAGGAUGAUCAGCCACACUGGAACUGAGACACGGUCCAGACUCCUACGGGAGGCAGCAGUGGGGAAUAUUGGACAAUGGGCGCAAGCCUGAUCCAGCCAUGCCGCGUGUGUGAAGAAGGCCUUCGGGUUGUAAAGCACUUUCAGUUGGGAGGAAGGGUUGUGUGUUAAUAGUACACAGCCUUGACGUUACCAACAGAAGAAGCACCGGCUAACUCUGUGCCAGCAGCCGCCGUAAGAC
rnacentral:rRNA from 1 species